UACGGAGGGUGCAAACGUUGCUCGGAAUCAUUGGGCGUAAAGCGCACGUAGGCGGCCUGUUAAGUCGGGUGUGAAAGCCCUGGGCUCAACCCAGGAAGUGCACUCGAAACUGGCGGGCUUGAAUAUGGAAGAGGGUCGCGGAAUUCCCGGUGUAGAGGUGAAAUUCGUAGAUAUCAGGAGGAACACCGGUGGCGAAGGCGGGUCUCUGGGCCGAUACUGACGCUGAGGAGCGAAAGCGUGGGGAGCGAACAGG
rnacentral:rRNA from 1 species